AUUGAACGCUGGCGGCAUGCCUUACACAUGCAAGUCGAACGGUAACAGGUCUUCGGAUGCUGACGAGUGGCGAAUGGGUGAGUAAUACAUCGGAACGUGCCUAGUAGUGGGGGAUAACUACUCGAAAGAGUGGCUAAUACCGCAUGAGAUCUACGGAUGAAAGCAGGGGAUCGCAAGACCUUGUGCUACUAGAGCGGCCGAUGGCAGAUUAGGUAGUUGGUGGGAUAAAAGCUUACCAAGCCGACGAUCUGUAGCUGGUCUGAGAGGAUGAUCAGCCACACUGGGACUGAGACACGGCCCAGACUCCUACGGGAGGCAGCAGUGGGGAAUUUUGGACAAUGGGCGCAAGCCUGAUCCAGCAAUGCCGCGUGCAGGAUGAAGGCCUUCGGGUUGUAAACUGCUUUUGUACGGAACGAAAAGCCCCGGGUUAAUACCCUGGGGUCAUGACGGUACCGUAAGAAUAAGCACCGGCUAACUACGUGCCAGCCGCCGCGGUAA
rnacentral:rRNA from 1 species